rnacentral:rRNA from 1 species
GAUGAACGCUGGCGGCGUGCCUAAUACAUGCAAGUCGAGCGAACAGAUGAGGAGCUUGCUCCUUUGACGUUAGCGGCGGACGGGUGAGUAACACGUAGGUAACCUACCUAUAAGACUGGGAUAACUUCGGGAAACCGGAGCUAAUACCGGAUAAUAUUUCGAACUGCAUGGUUCGAUAGUGAAAGAUGGCUUUGCUAUCACUUAUAGAUGGACCUGCGCCGUAUUAGCUAGUUAGUAAGGUAACGGCUUACCAAGGCAACGAUACGUAGCCGACCUGAGAGGGUGAUCGGCCACACUGGAACUGAGACACGGUCCAGACUCCUACGGGAGGCAGCAGUAGGGAAUCUUCCGCAAUGGGCGCAAGCCUGACGGAGCAACGCCGCAUGAGUGAUGAAGGUCUUCGGAUCGUAAAACUCUGUUAUUAGGGAAGAACAAACGUGUAAGUGACUGUGCACGUCUUGACGGUACCUAAUCAGAAAGCCACGGCUAACUACGUGCCAGCCGCCGCAGUAA